UACGGGGGGAGCAAGCGUUGUUCGGAUUUACUGGGCGUAAAGGGCGCGUAGGCGGUCGUGACAAGUCACUUGUGAAAUCUCCGGGCUUAACUCGGAACGGUCAAGUGAUACUGUCGGACUAGAGUACAGAAGGGGCAACUGGAAUUCUCGGUGUAGCGGUGAAAUGCGUAGAUAUCGAGAGGAACACCUGCGGCGAAGGCGGCCUUCUGGACGAUGACUGACGCUGAGACGCGAAAGCGUGGGGAGCAAACAGG
rnacentral:rRNA from 1 species